rnacentral:lncRNA from 1 species
GCGAAGCUCCACCUUCAGAUGUGAACGGGUGGCAGGCUUCCCAUCAGGUGUACUGACAUCCAGGCGAAGCUCCACCUUCAGACUGAAAGCCAGGUGCAGGCUUCUCAUCGGUUGUCCUGACACCCAGGCGAAGCUCCACAUUCAGACUGAAAUCCAGGUGCAGGCUUCUCAUCAGGUGUCCUGACACCCAGGCGAACCUCCACAUACAGAUGUGAAGCUAGCGGCAGACUUCUGAUCUGGUGUUCUGACACCCAGGCAAAGCUCCACAUUCAGACGGAAAGCUAGGUACAGGCUUCUGAACUGGCGUCUUGACUCCCAGGCUAAGCUCGCCCUUCAGACUGAAAGCCAGGUGCAGGCUUCUCAUCUGGUGUCCUGACAACUAGGCGAAGCUCCACCUUCAGAAUGAAACCAAGGUGAUGGUUUCUCAUCUGGCGUCCUGAAUCCCAGGUGAAGCUCCACCUUCAGACUGAAAGCUAGGUGUAGGCUUCUGAUCUGCUGCCGUGACACCCAGGCGAAACUCCACCUUCAGAUGGAAAGCAAGGUGCAGGAUUCUCAUCUGGUGUCCUGACACCCAGGUGAAGCUCCACCUUCAGAGUGAAAACCAGGUGCAGGCUUCUCAUCUGGUGUCCUGACACCCUGGUGAGAUCUACCUGCAGACUGAAAUCCAGGUGCAGGCUUCUCAUCUGGUGUGUUGACACCCAGCCGAGCUCCACCUUCAGAUUGAAAUCCAGGUGCAUACUUCUCAGCUGGUGUCCUGACACCCAGGUGAAGCUCCACCUUCAGAUGUCAAAUGAGGGGCAGGAUUCUCAUCUGGUGUCCUGACCUCCAGGCUAAGCUCCACCUUCAGAUGUGAAGUGAGGUGCAGGCUUCUCAUCUGCUGUCAUGACACCCUGGCAAAUCUCCACAUCCUGAUGUGAAAUCAGGUGCAGGCUUCUCAUCUGGUGUCCUGAUGCCCAAGAGAAGCUCCACCUUCAGACUGAAGGUGAGGUGGUGGCUUCUUAUCUAGUGUCCUGACACCUUGGCAAAGCUCCACCUUGAGACAGAAAGCCAGGUGCAGGCUUCUCAUCUGGUGUCCUGACACCCAGAAGAGCUCUACACUCAGACUGAAAGCCAGGUGCAGGCUUCUCAUCUGGUGUCCUGACACCCAGGUGAGCUCCACCUUCAGACUGAAAGCCAGGUGCAGGCUUCUCAUCUAUGUCCUGACACCCAGGCGAAGCUCCACCUUCAAUGUGAAGCGAGGGGCAGGCUUCUCAUCUGGUGUCCUUAUACCCAGACGAAACUCGACCUUCAGACUGAAAGCCAUGUGUAGGCUUCUCAUCUGGUGUCCUGACACCCAGGCAAAGCUCCACCUUGAGACUGAAAG